rnacentral:rRNA from 1 species
UACGUAGGUGGCAAGCGUUGUCCGGAUUUAUUGGGGUUAAAGGGUGCGUAGGCGGUCUGAUAAGUCAGUUGUGAAAUACGGCAGCUUAACUGUCGAGGUGCAAUUGAUACUGUUGGACUAGAGUACUGAUGAGGUAAGCGGAAUGGACGGUGUAGCGGUGAAAUGCUUAGAUAUCGUCCAGAACACCGAUAGCGAAGGCAGCUUACUACAGGGAUAUUGACACUGAGGCACGAAAGCGUGGGGAUCAAACAGG